AUUUGCUGAAGAUGCCAUCGUCCACGACAGCUCCGAGCAUUUCUAACAAAUCAAGCGAUGAGAGUCAAGUACAGGAGGUUAGAGAAGGAGGAAGAGGGUGAGAAAGAGGGUGAGUUAGUGGUUCUGCUGCAGGCAGGGCCAGGCGAGGGAGGAGAGCAAACACCGGCACCGCGGAAGCAGGGGAAGAGGCUGGAAACCCUCUGAAGGGACUGAAGCGACUGAGAAACUUCUUGAAGAGAUGACCUUGGAGGAGCACAGGCAGCUCACCAGUGAACUGCUUCAGAGGCAGCCAGGGUUCAUUUUUGAUGCCUUGAUGAUGCAUCAGUGCAGGCAUGGUGUCCCACCGUUUGCUGGAGUGCCAGGGGUACCAUGUUGUACUUGUAGUAACUGUACAGACAUGCCUACAGACUGGGAGAGGAAAUGCUGUGGCCAGUACCCUGCAGAUUGUGUAAUAAUAAUACCACACUUCUCCCAGUACUGUCUUGAAAAUGCUUUUUAUGCAUUCAUAGUUGGUACUGGGAGGACAUUAUGGUAUUUGGCCAAACCAGGAAG